GUGGGGAAUCUUGCGCAAUGGGCGAAAGCCUGACGCAGCCAUGCCGCGUGAAUGAUGAAGGUCUUAGGAUUGUAAAAUUCUUUCACCGGGGACGAUAAUGACGGUACCCGGAGAAGAAGCUCCGGCUAACUUCGUGCCAGCUGCCGCGGUAAUACGAAGGGGGCUAGCGUUGCUCGGAAUUACUGGGCGUAAAGGGCGCGUAGGCGGACAGCUUAGUCAGAGGUGAAAGCCCAGGGCUCAACCUUGGAAUUGCCUUUGAUACUGGCUGUCUUGAGUUUGGGAGAGGUGAGUGGAACUCCGAGUGUAGAGGUGAAAUUCGUAGAUAUUCGGAAGAACACCAGUGGCGAAGGCGACUCACUGGCCCAAUACUGACGCUGAGGCGCGAAAGCGUGGGGAGCAAACAGGAUUAGAAACCCUGGUAGUCC
rnacentral:rRNA from 1 species